rnacentral:tRNA from 1 species
GCCGGGAUAGCCCAGUUGGUUAGAGCGCAUGUUUUUACAUGAGGUCAGCGGUUCGAAUCCGUUUCUCGGCUCAA